rnacentral:lncRNA from 1 species
CACCACUGCCCACCCAACUGUCUUCCAAGAGAAUGUUGGUGUCUUUCUUGAGACGCCUCCCAACUGCUCUUUCUGAGCCUUCAAAAAAUGGCUACCAAACUGGGCAGCGAAGAGUAGUGGGAGGGGGAGAGGGGAGAGUGUCCAGAGAAAAAUGGCGUGACCCGUGAGAAGGAGGGCAGGAGGUAAGGGGCAGGAAGGGGCUAGUAAAGGCACUUCAGUCAUGGACACCGUUGUAACUCAGGAGAUAAACAUCAGGAAACACAAUUCUAUCUUCCUACAGAAGCACUGUACAUGAGAUUUACUAUGCUUCCAUCUACCCCAGGACACAGGGCGCUGCUCAGACUCCACGUGGAAAUAAGAAGCUGGGCAACAGCCAGGUCAGAAGAACAGAAUGUUUCUUAUCACACCGUCGCCCAGCUUCCUGGAAUGCUGCACUUGGGUGUUCAAAACGAAGAUCAUAGAUGAUGCAACAGUCAAGCUCUGAGGACAAAGUUUCACCUGGCCUAUGACCAAGGCUCAGCUAUGGACAGCUCCAGACUUCAGCAUGUCCAGCUCUAUUCGCCUCAGCUUUAAUCUCUUCUUUCCAAACAUUCCAACUAAAAAUUAGCCAGAAAAAGGGACCAUAAAUGGGGACGAGAACAAUCACAGCUGAGCACAUUACACUUCAAUUUUUAGACAGCCAACUCAGUGACACACAAGGUUUUCUAAGGGAGGGUUUGUGUCUUUUUGGAAUUUGGAUUUUUGAAAACAGAAGGCAUACUAUCAACCUCUGAAAACAUCUUUCAGAGAGGAUAAACAAGUAUCAAUUCAAAAACUCUGAACUGCACUCAAAUAUCAGGACUUACCAUGAAUUCCAAAAUUAUUCCAGGAAUGAAACAGAAAGGCAUGAAAUAAUCCCAGCUGCUUUAGUUUAUGCCUGUGUUGUAAAAUAUUCUAUUUUAAUUUGCU